UCGCCUGUUUAUCAAAAACAUCUUUUCUCGUUAGUUUUUGAAGUAUGGCCUGCCCGCUGACUUUAGUGUUGAAGGGCCGCGGUAUUUUGACCGUGCAAAGGUAGCAUAGUCAUUAGUUCUUUAAUUGUGAUCUGGUAUGAAUGGCUUGACGAGGCAUGGGCUGUCUUAAUUUUUAAUUGUUUAUUGAAUUUGGUCUUUGAGUUAAAAUUCUUAGAUGUUUUUAUGGGACGAGAAGACCCUAUAGAGUUUAACAUUUGUUAUGGUCCCUUUUCUGUUUGUGAGGGUUCAUUGGGCCGUUUAAUAUGUUUUGUUGGGGUGAUGGGAGGGAUUAAUUUAACCCCUCCUUUUUAUUAUUAUAUUUAUUUAUAUUUACUUGAUCCA
rnacentral:rRNA from 1 species